AUUGCAUUAUAAUUUAAGAUUUCCUGAAAUACCUGCAAGAUCCUCACAAUGUGAAAUUUUGAUUGUUCAGACGUUGCAUCAAGGUGUUUACGUCAAUAACGAUCAAUUAGCUGAUUUAAAGAGGUUAAAUUUGAUAAAAUCUUACGUUCCUUUCUACGUGGAUGUGGAAGCUCCAGCUGAAUCUUCCUCGUCUGUAACAUUUUACAUUUUUACCAAAGUCAGCAAGAAUUCAAAUAUCCGGCUACCAAUUCACUUUCGAUAUCAUUCGCCCAGUUCGCGAAGCUUCGCCAACAUUCCAAUGUACGAGCCAUCGUUGUACAUCAGUUGCCCAUCAACCGUCCCCUUUGAAACCAAAACCGAUCGGGUUUUCAAUCUCCCGUGCAGCAACAGUUCCGAAAUAUCCAACUACGACGAACUCUUCUCUGCAUCCGUCUGCACGUGGUUCGAUCUGAAAUCCGUGGUGAAUUCCCGAGGAGUGUCCAGUGUCUCCAUUCCCUUGGGCAACAUCAAGAUGGACAUUGUUGUUGUCGCAACGACAAUAACAAUUGUUUGGUGUGCCUGUGCCUACAUCAUUUUCACCAUUGUUCAGAAAGCUAAAUUCCUAAAUAAAAAAAUUGCCUAAACUCACCAAAGAAAACCAAAUUCUUGCUUUUUUUCUACCGCUUAUCACGAGUUCUUUAUUUUUAUCUAUUUAUCAACAAUUUUCAUUGCAGCAUGCUUCUUUUUUUUCUGUCAUUUGUAAUUACAAUAAAAUGAUAAAGGUACCUACACAAUUGUUGUCUAAUACCUUCUAAAAGUCUAAAAUUAUAUCACAUUAAAAAUUAUAAAUUGUAAUUUAUUUAUGAUAAACACAGAUAAAAUAACAUUGUGAUUUUUUUUCAUUUUCAUUAAAGAUGUUUUGCAUUAGACUGAGAAUAAGAUAUAUCGAGCUAUAAGCAUUAUUUUGCGGAAUUUAAUAUGUGAAUGUAGAUAAUUUUACUUUUUUUUUAGUUUAAAAAAUAUUUUCAUCUCAUAAAAAUGUCUUAAUUUUCUUUUUUUUUCUUUUAAAUCUGCUUGCAAUCAAUGAAGUUUUUUUGUGUUAUCUUUAUCACUAAUUAUACAAUAUUAUGAUGCUAAUUUCAGUGAGAUUUCUACUUCACAUGAAUGUCAAGGUUUGGCACAUGGAAAUAGAAUUUUUGGACAAAAUCAUGUGCUUCUUCUAGCUUUAAAUUCUUUUAAAUCUCAUUAAAAUGCUGAAGACGUUAUUGUAUUUAAUCUGUGGCUAGUUCUACUACUUUUUUGUCCUAAAAUACAAGUUCUGUUUUUAACUUUAAAAAUGCUAAUAAAAUAGAGUGGACGACCUAUUUGACAACUGUCAACUCAGUCAACGAGCAAUUAAAGAAUCCAAAUCUACUUCCUAGUUCUAAGCUCUAAUGGUGUCUACACAUUAAAAGCAAUUUUCGUCAAAAAUUGCUUU